GCUGUUGACAGAGCUCAUGCACCCCAAACUGGUCAGGAAAUAACAUUUGAUUUCAGGCUUCUCCUCCCCCUGCCCCUCAUCCUCCCACCUCUCCUGGGCUGCAGGCCCAUUUCCACCCCUCCAUUAUCUGGGCUCCCGCUUCAGGGCUGGGUCCCAGCUUGGAGCAUCCUCACUGGUAUCAGCCUCCACCUCUCACAGUCUGCUCUGCACUCACAUCAGCUGCUGGUUUGAUAAGCUGAUGGGCUCGAAGGUGUUCAGGGGUGAUAAGAAGUGGAUGUGCUAUCCGGGCGCCCAUGCCUGGGCCCAGAGGGGAAUUGUACAUUCUACGGAAAGCCUGGGCCCAGAGGGGAAUUGUACAUUCUACGGAAAGCCUUCAGGAAAAGUUUAUGAAAGCCUCAUGACUUGCAGAAAGAAGUCUAACCUGGUAUUUCAGCAGCGAGAGAUCAUGAUCAUGAGUAAAUCAUGGUCGUGAGUAAAUUAAAAGGUUGCUAUUUUAAGCCACUAAGUUUGGGGUGGCUGUUAUGCAGCAAUAGGUAAUUGAUACUCUCUGCUUCCCCUAAGCAUAUCAUAGGCCCCUUACCACCAAGCCCAGAAUGAACAUAUCAUUGUUCAUUCAUCCUCACAACCUGUCCCUCCCCUUCUGUCUCUCAUCUCAGGAACUGGCACCUCUCUAUGCCAAAUCAUACAUCUGCAGCCAGCCUUAACUCCCCACUGUUUUCAUCAAGUACAGCUGACUUUAUCUCCUAAAUAUCUCUAGAAUCUCCUCCACUGCCCCUGUCCAUCUGAUCUCAUCACAGGUCAUCCAGACCAGUAGUCAUUACAGCAAAGAACACACACCCCAGAAAAUGCUCAAUACAAUCACCAGGGUAGCUGGAAGAAAACAAGCAAUUCUAGUUUUAUUUAUUUUUAUUUAAAAAAUUAAGAAAUUAAAGCUUUUGGGCCAGGCGCGGUGGCUUACGCCUGUAAUCCCAGCACUUUGGGAGGCCGAGGCGGGUGGAUCACCUGAGGUUGGGAGUUCGAGACCAGCCUGACCAACAUGGAGAAACCCCAUCUCUACAAAAAUACAAAAUUAGCUGGGCGUGGUGGCGCAUGCCUGUAAUACCAGCUACUCGGGAGGCUGAGGCAGGAGAAUUACUUGAACCUGGAUCUUGGCUCACCACAACCUCUGCCUCCCAGUUUCAAGCGAUUCUCUUGCCUCAGCCUCCUGAGUAAAUGGGACCACAGGCGUGCACCACCACUCCUGGCUAAUUUUUGUGUUUUUAGUAGAGACGGGGUUUCGCCAUGUUGACCAGGCUGGUCUCAAACUCCUGGCCUCAGGUGAUCUACCUGCCUUGGCCUCCCAAAGUGCUGGGGUUACAGUCAUGAGCCACUGCACCUGGCCUAUUUAAUAUUGUUAUAGUUAUCUUCUUUUUUAGAAAAUGUAUUCAAACAAAUUUUUUUUAUAGUGAUGGAGUCUCCCUAUGUUGUCCAGGCCCUGGUCUGGAACUCCUGGGCUCAAGUGAUCCUCCCAGAGGACCUUUUGGGAGGCCUUGUCCUCCAAAAGUAGUGGGAUUACAGGCAUGGGAUUGCAGCUGCCAUGCCCAGCCAAUAGUUAUCUUCUUUUAAGUGGUUCUUCAGUACAGUCAAGUUCCCAACAAUGAGUCAUUGCUCUAG
rnacentral:lncRNA from 1 species